rnacentral:rRNA from 1 species
UCUCAGUUCGGAUUGAAGGCUGAAAUUCGCCUUCAUGAAGCCGGAAUUGCUAGUAAUGGCAGGUCAGCAUACUGCCGUGAAUACGUUCCCGGGCCUUGUACACACCGCCCGUCACACCAUGAGAGUUGGGAAUACCCGAAGCCUGUGAGCUAACUAUACGAGGCAGCAGUCGAAGGUAGAAUCAAUGAUUGGGGUGAAGUCGUAACAAGGUACC